rnacentral:rRNA from 1 species
GACGAACGCUGGCGGUGCGCCUUAUGCAUGCAAGUCGAGCGAAGCUUUUCAGUAGUUUACUACAGAAAAUGACUGAGCGGCGAACGGGUGAGUAACGCGUGAGCAAUCUACCUUAGUUACUGGGAUAGCCCGAGGAAACUCGGAUUAAUACCGGAUAAUCUUAUUACAUCACAUGAUAUUUUAAGUAAAGGUCAGCCGAACUAAGAUGAGCUCGCGUUCUAUCAGCUUGUUGGUGGGGUAAAAGCCUACCAAGGCUACGACGGAUAGCUGGUCUGAGAGGACGAUCAGCCACACUGGGACUGAGACACGGCCCAGACUCCUACGGGAGGCUGCAGCAGGGAAUAUUGCGCAAUGAGCGAAAGCUUGACGCAGCGACACCGCGUGUGGGAUGACGGUUCUAGGAUUGUAAACCACUUUA